rnacentral:rRNA from 1 species
CCUACGGGAGGCAGCAGUGGGGAAUAUUGCACAAUGGGGGAAACCCUGAUGCAGCGACGCCGCGUGAGUGAGGAAGUAUUUCGGUAUGUAAAGCUCUAUCAGCAGGGAAGAAAAUGACGGUACCUGACUAAGAAGCCCCGGCUAACUACGUGCCAGCAGCCGCGGUAAUACGUAGGGUGCAAGCGUUAUCCGGAUUUACUGGGUGGAAAGGGAGCGUAGACGGUUAAUCAAGUCAGAAGUGAAAACCCAGGGCUCAACCUUGGGACUGCUUUUGAAACUGAGUAGCUAGAGUGCAGGAGAGGUGAGCGGAAUUCCUAGUGUAGCGGUGAAAUGCGUAGAGAUUAGGAGGAACACCAGUGGCGAAGGCGGCUCACUGGACUAUAACUGACGUUGAGGCUCGAAAGCGUGGGGAGCAAACAGGAUUAGAUACCCUUGUAGUC